GAGUUUGAUCCUGGCUCAGAUUGAACGCUGGCGGCAUGCCUUACACAUGCAAGUCGAACGGCAGCAUGAUCUAGCUUGCUAGAUUGAUGGCGAGUGGCGAACGGGUGAGUAAUACAUCGGAACGUGCCCUGUAGUGGGGGAUAACUAGUCGAAAGAUUAGCUAAUACCGCAUACGACCUGAGGGUGAAAGUGGGGGACCGCAAGGCCUCAUGCUAUAGGAGCGGCCGAUGUCUGAUUAGCUAGUUGGUGGGGUAAAGGCCCACCAAGGCGACGAUCAGUAGCUGGUCUGAGAGGACGAUCAGCCACACUGGGACUGAGACACGGCCCAGACUCCUACGGGAGGCAGCAGUGGGGAAUUUUGGACAAUGGGGGCAACCCUGAUCCAGCAAUGCCGCGUGUGUGAAGAAGGCCUCGG
rnacentral:rRNA from 1 species